rnacentral:rRNA from 1 species
GACGAACCGUGCGAACGUUGUUCGGAAUUACUGGGCGUAAAGGGCUCGUAGGCGGCCCAACUAAGUCAGACGUGAAAUCCCCUCGGCUUAACCGGGGGAACUGCGUCUGAUACUGGAUGGCUUGAGAUUGGGAGAGGGAUGCGGAAUUCCAGGUGUAGCGGUGAAAUGCGUAGAUAUCUGGAGGAACACCGGUGGCGAAGGCGGCAUUCUGGACCGACAUUGACGCUGAGGAGCGAAAGCCAGGGGAGCAAAGCGGG